AAAGAGAUUAGUUCCAUCAUUUCACCGCUAGAGUUUCAAUAAAUCAGAAUACUUUAAAGUAAUUUAAAAAUCUUGUUAGUUAUUCGUUCUAUUAUACUAUCCAAUCCCAUACUGUCUGCUUUCGGAUAUCUCUAUACACUCUAUGCUCUAUGCUCUAUGCUCCGGUACCAACACUAUGAACGAAUGUAUAUUUUGUUUUUUCUUUCAAAACAAUGGAAGAAAUACGCAAAUAUUUCCAGAUUAAAUGAGGGGAAUGGUAUACUUAUUAAUAUAUCGCAAAUAAAUAUUUAUUUAAGAAUGGAGACUGAAAUUUCAUGAAAGAAAUGAUCAUGAAAAAUACUAAUUUCUAUUGUUGCAUGUGGCUCUGGAAAUAUUGUAACUUUAUCCUCAGGGGAUUUUACAUUUAAUAAUAAAUAAAUCAAAUAUUUAAGUGAUUAAAUUCAGCUUGUAUGUAACCAACAUAAUUUUGAUUUAUAUUAAAUAAUGCAUGUGGUUUACAUUUAUAUUAUAUAACUAAAUAAAAUAUUUAAAACAUCAAAAA